GACUGGGAGGAAUAUUUUUUUGGUCAGUGUGAACCCCAAGGGCUUUGGAGGAGGUGGGUAAGACAGAAGAAAAGACAAGAGGCUCAAUUCAGAUACCAUCUAGCUCUCUUCUUUGCUUCUUGAGAGAGACUGAAGUAGUUUGGUUUCCCAUGGGUCGGCUCGCGAGGUAUGAUGUAGUAAAGAAGCAGAGAUGGAGACACUAAGUCUCAAGUUCUUAUAUCCUUAUUGGCUUAAACCAGAGCUUCCUGGUACAUCACAACUCUCCUUUCACUUAUGAGGGAUUGAAGUGAGGCAGAACUGCACAAAGUCAUCAGCUCACUCUUUCUUCAAGAGCCAUCGAAAUUCAAUGGCAAGACAAAAGUCAAGAUGACUGAUGAUGGCUAGGGAUGCAGUGGAUGGAUGACAUUGGCUUCUUCAAUGUUGAACAAAGAUGAGACAACUGACAGUAACUUUUCUCCAAGUGCUUGGGUGUGGCUAAAAGACAAAGAUGAACAUUGUACCUGUCUCCUAUCUGCCCUUCAGGGGAUUUUUUUUUUUUUUUAGUAAGAUAUCUGUGGGAAAGAAAGAGUCAUAAGAGGUAUUGGUGAGUUCCUUUCAACCACACCCUAUCAAAGCAUGUAAUAACCUCUGCUUCUUCCUCAGUCAACCCAAGAGAUACACUUUCCUUUUUGCUGACACUGUUUCCAGUUUUUGAUUAUUACAGAAGGUGAUACUAUUGACUAUUUUGGAAUAUAUAGAACUUAAAAAAAUCAGACUUCCUUGUACAUAGCCAGCAGAAGGAUCUCAGUGGCAAAGAGUAUAGACAUUUUCAUCACUUUAUAAGCAUAAUUCCAAAUUGUUUUGCUUUUAAUGGCUUGACCACUGUCUAGCUU
rnacentral:lncRNA from 1 species